GCUCACUGGUCUAGUGAUUCCGCGCCGACAAUGUAGCGGGGCUCAAGCGUACCGCCGAAGUCGUGUCAUUCCAGAACAUAGGGCCAACGCCUUCUGGGAUGGGUAGGGGAGCGUCGUGUGCCGGGUGAAGCCGCGCCGGAAGGCAGUGGUGGACGGUUCACGAGUGAGAAUGCAGGCAUGAGUAGCGAUUCACACGUGAGAAACGUGUGCGCCGAUUGACUAAGGGUUCCUGGGUCAAGCUGAUCUGCCCAGGGUAAGUCGGGA
rnacentral:rRNA from 1 species